rnacentral:RNase_P_RNA from 1 species
GAAGCUGACUAGACAGUCGCUGCGCAGAUUUAGUGCGGAGAGGAAAGUCCGGGCUCCACAGAGCAGAAUGCCGGUUAACGACCGGACACCGUGAGGUGAUGGAAAGUGCCACAGAAAAUACACCGCCGAUGGCCCGACUUCGCUGCUCGCAAGAGCGGCAAAGUCUUCUCAAGAAGAGCAGUGGCGAAAGCCACUGUGAUGAUUGGGAAGGGAUCAGGUAAGGUUGAAAUGGCGAGGUAAGAGCUCACCGCGCGGGUGGCAACACCAGUGGCAGGGUAAACCCCAUUCGGAGCAAGAUCAAAUAGGCUGACUUUGGCGUGGCUCGCGUCGUCAGCGGGUAGAUUGCUUGAGCGUCAGGUAACGAAACGCCUAGAGGAAUGACUGUCCACGACAGAACCCGGCUUAUCGGUCAGCUUCACCU